rnacentral:rRNA from 1 species
UACGUAGGGUGCGAGCGUUGUCCGGAAUUAUUGGGCGUAAAGGGCUCGUAGGCGGUUUGUCGCGUCGGGAGUGAAAACCCAGGGCUUAACCCUGGGCUGGCUUCCGAUACGGGCAGACUAGAGGUAUGCAGGGGAGACGGAAUUCCUGGUGUAGCGGUGAAAUGCGCAGAUAUCAGGAGGAACACCGGGUGGCGAAGGCGGUUCUCUGGGCAUUACCUGACGCUGAGGAGCGAAAAGUGUGGGGAGCGAACAGG